rnacentral:rRNA from 1 species
AACAAACGCUGGCGGCGUGUCUUAAGCAUGCAAGUUGAGCGGCAAGGAGGAGAGAUCCUCCCUAGAGCGGCGGACUGGUGAGUAACGCGUGGGUAAUCUAUCGUAGGCAUGGGGAUAGUCACUAGAAAUAGUGGGUAAUACCGAAUACGUUCCAUGAGGGGAGUACUUAUGGAAGAAAGGGUGCUACGGCACUGGCCUUAGGUGAGCUCGCGUCCCAUUAGCUGGUUGGUGAGGUAAAGGCCCACCAAGGCGAUGAUGGGUAGCCGGCCUGAGAGGGUGUACGGCCACACUGGUACUGAGACACGGACCAGACUCCUACGGGAGGCAGCAGUGAGGAAUAUUGGUCAAUGGGCGAAAGCCUGAUGCAGCGACGCCGCGUGAGGGAUGACGGCCUGGUUGUAACGUACUUCUAGCAGGAAGGAAGACGAAGUAGACGGUACCGUACGCGAGAAGAAGACACCGGCCGUAACUAACCGUGCCGACGACACGCCGCGGUAACGUAAGUGUG